GAUGAACGCUAGCGGCAGGCUUAACACAUGCAAGUCGAGGGGUAACAUUGUAGCUUGCUACAGAUGACGACCGGCGCACGGGUGCGUAACGCGUAUAGAACCUACCUUAUAGUAAGGGAUAGCCCAGAGAAAUUUGGAUUAAUACCUUAUAGUAUGAUAAGAUGGCAUCAUUUAAUCAUUAAAGAUUUAUUGCUAUAAGAUGGCUAUGCGUUCUAUUAGUUAGUUGGUAAGGUAACGGCUUACCAAGACAUCGAUAGAUAGGGGCCCUGAGAGGGGGAUCCCCCACACUGGUACUGAGACACGGACCAGACUCCUACGGGAGGCAGCAGUGAGGAAUAUUGGACAAUGGAGGCAACUCUGAUCCAGCCAUGCCGCGUGUAGGAAGACUGCCCUAUGGGUUGUAAACUACUUUUAUAGAGGAAGAAACGGUUCCACGUGUGGAAUUUUGACGGUACUCUACGAAUAAGGAUCGGCUAACUCCGUGCCAGCAGCCGCGGUAAUACGGAGGAUCCAAGCGUUAUCCGGAAUCAUUGGGUUUAAAGGGUCCGUAGGCGGGUCUGUAAGUCAGUGGUGAAAGUUUUCGGCUCAACCGGAAAAUUGCCAUUGAUACUGCAGGUCUUGAAUCAUUAUGAAGUGGUUAGAAUAAGUAGUGUAGCGGUGAAAUGCAUAGAUAUUACUUAGAAUACCGAUUGCGAAGGCAGAUCACUAAUAAUGUAUUGACGCUAAGGGACGAAAGCGUGGGUAGCGAACAGGAUUAGAUACCCUGGUAGUCCACGCCGUAAACGAUGGUUACUAGCUGUUCGGACUUCGGUCUGAGUGGCUAAGCGAAAGUGAUAAGUAACCCACC
rnacentral:rRNA from 1 species